AGAGUUUGAUCAUGGCUCAGAUUGAACGCUGGCGGCAGGCCUAACACAUGCAAGUCGAGCGGUAGCACAGAGAGCUUGCUCUCGGGUGACGAGCGGCGGACGGGUGAGUAAUGUCUGGGAAACUGCCUGAUGGAGGGGGAUAACUACUGGAAACGGUAGCUAAUACCGCAUAAUGUCGCAAGACCAAAGUGGGGGACCUUCGGGCCUCAUGCCAUCAGAUGUGCCCAGAUGGGAUUAGCUAGUAGGUGGGGUAACGGCUCACCUAGGCGACGAUCCCUAGCUGGUCUGAGAGGAUGACCAGCCACACUGGAACUGAGACACGGUCCAGACUCCUACGGGAGGCAGCAGUGGGGAAUAUUGCACAAUGGGCGCAAGCCUGAUGCAGCCAUGCCGCGUGUGUGAAGAAGGCCUUCGGGUUGUAAAGCACUUUCAGCGGGGAGGAAGGCGNUCGAUUGACGUUACCCGCAGAAGAAGCACCGGCUAACUCCGUGCCAGCAGCCGCGGUAAUACGGAGGGUGCAAGCGUUAAUCGGAAUUACUGGGCGUAAAGCGCACGCAGGCGGUCUGUCAAGUCGGAUGUGAAAUCCCCGGGCUCAACCUGGGAACUGCAUUCGAAACUGGCAGGCUAGAGUCUUGUAGAGGGGGGUAGAAUUCCAGGUGUAGCGGUGAAAUGCGUAGAGAUCUGGAGGAAUACCGGUGGCGAAGGCGGCCCCCUGGACAAAGACUGACGCUCAGGUGCGAAAGCGUGGGGAGCAAACAGGAUUAGAUACCCUGGUAGUCCACGCCGUAAACGAUGUCGAUUUGGAGGUUGUGCCCUUGAGGCGUGGCUUCCGGAGCUAACGCGUUAAAUCGACCGCCUGGGGAGUACGGCCGCAAGGUUAAAACUCAAAUGAAUUGACGGGGGCCCGCACAAGCGGUGGAGCAUGUGGUUUAAUUCGAUGCAACGCGAAGAACCUUACCUGGUCUUGACAUCCACAGAACUUUCCAGAGAUGGAUUGGUGCCUUCGGGAACUGUGAGACAGGUGCUGCAUGGCUGUCGUCAGCUCGUGUUGUGAAAUGUUGGGUUAAGUCCCGCAACGAGCGCAACCCUUAUCCUUUGUUGCCAGCGGUUAGGCCGGGAACUCAAAGGAGACUGCCAGUGAUAAACUGGAGGAAGGUGGGGAUGACGUCAAGUCAUCAUGGCCCUUACGACCAGGGCUACACACGUGCUACAAUGGCAUAUACAAAGAGAAGCGACCUCGCGAGAGCAAGCGGACCUCAUAAAGUAUGUCGUAGUCCGGAUUGGAGUCUGCAACUCGACUCCAUGAAGUCGGAAUCGCUAGUAAUCGUAGAUCAGAAUGCUACGGUGAAUACGUUCCCGGGCCUUGUACACACCGCCCGUCACACCAUGGGAGUGGGUUGCAAAAGAAGUAGGUAGCUUAACCUUCGGGAGGGCGCUUACCACUUUGUGAUUCAUGACUGGGGUGAAGUCGUAACAAGGUAACCGUAGGGGAACCUGCGGUUG
rnacentral:rRNA from 3 species